GACGAACGCUGGCGGCGUGCCUAAUACAUGCAAGUCGAACGCAGUGGGGACGGGGGAGUAACAACUGGUUAACCUCCCAUCAGAGGGGAUAACACUUGGAAACAGGUGCUAAACCGCUACUGGUGGAUGGACCCGCGGGGCAUUAGCUAGUUGGUGAGGUAACGUCUCACCAGGGCCACGAUGCAUAGCCGAUCUGAGAGGGUGACCGGCCACACUGAGACUGAGACACGGCCCAGCAUCCUACGGGAGGAAGCAGGAGGGAAGCUUCGGCAAUGGACGAAAGUCUGACCGAGCAACGCCGCGUGAGUGAAGAAGGUUUUCGGAUCGUAAAACUCUGUUGUUAGAGAAGCGGUAUCUACACAGAAAGCCACGGCUAACUACGUGCCAGCCGCCGCGGUAAUAC
rnacentral:rRNA from 1 species